rnacentral:rRNA from 1 species
CCUACGGGAGGCACCAGUGGGGAAUAUUGCACAAUGGGCGCAAGCCUGAUGCAGCGACGCCGCGUGGGGGAUGAAGGCCUUCGGGUUGUAAACUCCUUUCGCUAGGGACGAAGCUUUGUUGUGACGGUACCUAGAUAAGAAGCACCGGCUAACUACGUGCCAGCAGCCGCGGUAAUACGUAGGGUGCGAGCGUUGUCCGGAAUUACUGGGCGUAAAGGGCUCGUAGGUGGUUUGUCGCGUCGUCUGUGAAAUUCUGGGGCUUAACUCCGGGCGUGCAGGCGAUACGGGCAUAACUUGAGUGCUGUAGGGGUAACUGGAAUUCCUGGUGUAGCGGUGAAAUGCGCAGAUAUCAGGAGGAACGCCGAUGGCGAAGGCAGGUUACUGGGCAGUUACUGACGCUGAGGAGCGAAAGCAUGGGUAGCGAACAGGAUUAGAUACCCGGGUAGUC